rnacentral:rRNA from 1 species
AGAGUGAACGCUAGCGGUGCGCCUAACACAUGCAAGUCGAAUGUCCGCAAGGACAUGGCAGACGGCUGCGUAACACGUUGGAACCUACCCCGAACUCAGGGAUAACCCUCCGAAAGGAGGAGUAAUACCGGAUACACUCGCAAGAGGAAAGCUUUAGCGGUUUGGGAGGGGCCUGCGGCCUAUCAGUUAGUUGGUGAGGUAACGGCUCACCAAGACGAUGACGGGUAGCUGAUCUGAGAGGAUGAUCAGCCAGAAUGGAACUGCGACACGGUCCAUACUCCUACGGGAGGCAGCAGUGAGGAAUCUUCCGCAAUGGGCGAAAGCCUGACGGAGCGACACCGCGUGGUGGAUGAAGGCCUUUUGGUCGUAAACACCUGUUCUGAGGGACGAAAUUUUUGACGGUACCUCAGGAGAAAGCAUCGGCUAAGCCUGCGCCAGCAGCCGC